rnacentral:rRNA from 1 species
GAUGAACGCUGGCGGCGUGCUUAACACAUGCAAGUCGAACGAAGCAUUUGCGACAGAUUUUUUCGGAAUGAAGUUGCUUAUGACUGAGUGGCGGACGGGUGAGUAACGCGUGGGUAACCUGCCUUGUACUGGGGGAUAGCAGCUGGAAACGGCUGGUAAUACCGCAUAAGCGCACAAUGUUGCAUGACAUGGUGUGAAAAACUCCGGUGGUAUAAGGUGGACCCGCGUCUGAUUAGCUAGUUGGUGAGAUAACAGCCCACCAAGGCGACGAUCAGUAGCCGACCUGAGAGGGUGACCGGCCACAUUGGGACUGAGACACGACCAAGACUCCUACGGGAGGCAGCAGUGGGGAAUAUUGCACAAUGGAGGAAACUCUGAUGCAGCGACGCCGCGUGAGUGAAGAAGUAAUUCGUUAUGUAAAGCUCUAUCAGCAGGGAAGAUAGUGACGGUACCUGACUAAGAAGCUCCGGCUAAAUACGUG